UACGUAGGGUGCAAGCGUUGUCCGGAAUUAUUGGGGCGUAAAGAGCUCGUAGGCGGUUCGUCGCGUCGGCUGUGAAAUCCCGAGGCUCAACCUCGGGUCUGCAGUCGAUACGGGGCGGACUGGAGUUCGGCAGGGGAGAAUGGAAUUCCCGGUGUAGCGGUGAAAUGCGCAGAUAUCGGGAAGAACACCCGUGGCGAAGGCGGUUCUCUGGGACG
rnacentral:rRNA from 1 species